UACGAAGGGGGCUAGCGUUGCUCGGAAUCACUGGGCGUAAAGGGUGCGUAGGCGGGUCUUUAAGUCAGGGGUGAAAUCCUGGAGCUCAACUCCAGAACUGCCUUUGAUACUGAAGAUCUUGAGUUCGGGAGAGGGUAGUGGAAUUCCCGGUGUAGUGGUGAAAUGCGUAGAUAUCUGGAGGAACACCGGUGGCGAAGGCGGCAUCCUGGACCAAUAUUGACGCUGAGGAGCGAAAGCCAGGGGAGCAAACGGG
rnacentral:rRNA from 1 species